UACGUAGGGGGCAAGCGUUGUCCGGAUUUAUUGGGCGUAAAGAGCGUGUAGGCGUCCAUACAGGUCAGCUGUGAAAACUCGAGGCUCAACCUCGAGACGUCGGUUGAAACCGUAUGGCUAGAGUCCGGAAGAGGAGAGUGGAAUUCCCGGUGUAGCGGUGAAAUGCGCAGAUAUCGGGAAGAACACCCGUGGCGAAGGCGGCUCUCUGGGACGGUACUGACGCUGAGACGCGAAAGCGUGGGGAGCAAACAGG
rnacentral:rRNA from 1 species